rnacentral:ncRNA from 3 species
UGUGAAGCAGAAUUCACCAAGUGU